AGGGGGUCACCCUCAGCAUUAAUCUUACAGGACGCCGUAGAGCCAGCAGGGUACUCAUAGGUAGCCAUGUUGCCAGAGGGAGGGGGUCACCCAGCCCACAAUGGUGUCACACGUCCAUUAUUAUGGUCCAGUAGCGGGUAGAGCCCCAGAAAUAUGGAUGGGGGGGUUCACCCCCCAAUAAUAACAGGUCUGAAUGUGGGGCCAGUAGCCCCCCUGAGGGGUAGGAGGGUCCAUAUAGCGAGAAGCUGACUCACAGACCACUCAGGUAUUAUAUUAGGAUACACUUUUGAAGUGUAUGUGUAGUGGAAAAUCUAAGUCCCUUGCAGGAAGGGCAGCAAAU